UCAGUACGGGAGGCGAGCAGUGAGGAAUAUUGGUCAAUGGGCGAGAGCCUGAACCAGCCAAGUAGCGUGCAGGAAGACGGCCCUAUGGGUUGUAAACCUCUGUUAGCAGGGAAGAAGAGAGAUUGACGGUACCUGCAGAGAAAGCGCCGGCUAACUACGUGCCAGCAGCCGCGGUAAUCUGA
rnacentral:rRNA from 1 species